rnacentral:rRNA from 14 species
NNNNNNNUUGAUUCUGCCUGACGUGGACGCUAGUCUCACAGAUUUAGCCAUGCAUGUGUAAGCGAAGCAUAUUGUGGAGCGGCGAAAGGCUCAGUAACGGGCGAUUUAUUUAUUCUUCUGUGACGGACAACACCGGGAAACUGGUGGGAAAACGUCUAUACUGCAGGAGUAGAAUUCUGUGGUAGAAAGAUUUAUCUGUGGAAGAGUAAGAUGCCAUCCUAUCAGUUAGUAAGUAGGGUAAGGGCCUACUUAGACGAAGACGGGUACGGGGAAUGAGGGUUUGAUUCCGGAGAGGGAGCCUGAGAGAUGGCUACCAGGACCAAGGUCAGCAGCAGGCGCGAAAAUUAUCGAAGCCCACUUUGGGGCGAUAGUGAGGAGACGUAAAUAUGAUGUACGGGUAAAGAACGUACUAUAAACUGGAGGUCAAGUCUGGUGCCAGCAUCCGCGGUAAUUCCAGCUCCAGGGGUGUCUAUGAUGAUUGCUGCGAUUAAAAAGUCCGUAGUCUAGCCGCACGACCAGUCUGGAAUGUUUCUGAUCAAAAGAAGAGCAGGGCUGGGAAGGCGGAGAAUUAGGAGCGACCAGGGGCUAGAGUAUUGAAUGGCGAGAGGUGAAAUUUGAUGACCCAUUCAGGAGUGACAAAGGCGAAGGCACUAGUCAGGGGCGAAUCCGAUGAUCAAGGACGUAGGCUAGAGUAUCGAAAACGAUUAGAGACCGGAGUAGUUCUAGCAGUAAACUAUGCCGACUUUGUGGCAGAGGUAUCUGUUGCAAACGAGAAAUCUUAAGUAAGGCUUUGGGGAGAGUACGCGCGCAAGCGAUAAAUUUAAAGGAAAUUGACGGAGGAACACCACAAGGAGUAGAGUGUGCGGCUUAAUUUGACUCAACGCGGGACAGCUUACCAGGCCCGAUGAACCGGGCGAGCGUGAUACGCGAUAGGUUUAGAAGUGGUGCAUGGCUGCUAUCGACAGUUGGGGUGACCUUAGGGUUAAUUCCGGCAAGUAGUGAGACCCCCGUGUAUAGACAGGCAUUGUUAAGAUGCAGGAAGGAGGGGACAAGAGCAGGUCAGUGAUGCCCUUAGAUGGCCUGGGCUGCACGCGCACUACAGUGGUCAUAAUAAGAAGUAAGUAGAAGGAAUUAUGAUCGAGAGGGACUGGGCUUUGUAAUAGGCCCACGAACGAGGAAUUGCUAGUAAUCGUAGGCUCAUUAGGAUACGAUGAAUAUGUCCCUGUACCUUGUACACACCGCCCGUCGUUAUCGAAGAUGGAAUUGUAUGCGAACGAGCGUGAGCGAGUGAGCGUGCGGUUCUAGAUGUGAUAAAAGUCGUAACAAGGCAACUGUAGGAGAACCUGUAGUUGGAUCANNN